rnacentral:pre_miRNA from 1 species
UGCCUCCCUCUUUGGGGCGAUCGAUUGCGGAGUCCCCCCCCAUUGAUCGCCCCACAGAGGGUGGCC